UUAACACACAGAAGUUGUGGAUUUCGUGAUCUGACAACCUAGGAGGAACUGAACCUCUUUGUAACCCAAUCAUGAAUCCAAACCUUCUCAGAAACCUCUCUUUCUACUCGCGCCGUCUUCGCCACUCUCCCUUUAACCACAGACCAAACUCCAUUCCUUCACCCCUCUCUCUCUUUGCACCCACCUUCUUUUCUUCUAUCAAUGAUCCAUCCCCUUUCACGCAUACCCAGAAGAAACACGACCCUGUUGAUGUCGAGGAUAUUAGCAACGAAGAGUUUAAGAGGCGUGUGGCAAAGCUUCAAGAUGGUGAUGCGGAGGCAAUACCUUCGGUGUUUGAGGGUAUAUUGCAGAGGUCUUUAACUGGCAAGCCUAUAGAAGCUGACAAGGAGUUGAUGAAGGAAAUUUUAGGAAAGGGUACAGGGUCAGAAGAAGAAGAUGAUGACGACGACGACGACGAUGAUGAAGACUACGAGUUGGAUUCUGAUUUGGAGGGAAUGAGUGACAUUGAUUAUGAAGACAAAGAAGUUUUUGAUCUUGAUUUUAAAGGAAGGAGUGGGCCGAUAAAGAAAAGACUAAGAGAUGAAUGAACUCGCAAUUGCCAGUGGCAGUCAAGAUUUCAAAUCAACCUUGGAUUGGUUUCGUAUAACAGAUAACAAGAGAGGACUUGGAAUACUGCUGUCAGACUAUAUUGUAUUUGUUUUUAUGCUAAGGUGUGCCUAGGGAUUGAGAAGGAUCGGAAAUCUCUUGAAGCGAUAAAAGUAACUUGUUCCACAAGUAAGCGUAUUGGUAAAGCUUCAAGAGGUGCCCAGAUUUCCGGUGAGUCCUCACUAGGCAGGGACACGACACGUGGCUGAGGCAGUUGACAGACCGGAUUUUGAGUGGCUGUAGGCUGCUACCUUUUUGGAGUGUUUGAUGUAUUUUAGUAUUUUCGCAUUUGAUGGAUCAUGAUAUUGAUCCUUUAUUUUGUAUAUGGCCUGUAUAUGUUUUGUACAUGUCUGUCAGUUUGAUGCAUGUACAUUUGAGUAUUCAGGAACGUUAUAUGAUGAUGUAGUAU